GGCGGUUCUCGGGUGACACACCCCGGAAUCGGGCUCCCUCCUCUCUGGUUCUGGGGUGCGUCACCCGAGAACCACC
rfam:Myotis lucifugus cont2.56088, whole genome shotgun sequence.